CUGAGCUAAACAACUUCUCCGGUGAAGAACACCGGCCAUCAAACCCCUGACUUUUAUUAUUUAUUUUUCAGAAUUUAAGUUGAAAAAUCACAAUUCUUAUAGUAAAAGGGCAGUGAAGUAAUUGAGGAGCAAACCAAGAACAUUCUCGAAUGCAUCUCUAGCUUUUGGAACACACCGAGCGCCAUACUAAAACUGGCCCGAAGUCAAAAACC
rnacentral:lncRNA from 1 species